CCUUACUUUUGUCAUUUCCGACCAUUGUGCUCCCGAUUCAAGUAAGUCCUGGAGCGUCUGCCACAAUCACUACUGCUCCCUGUACUGGCCAACCAAGGUCUCACUUUUGAGCAGGGAGCAAUUCAAUUUCCACAAACCCCUCCAAAACGUCACACCAGUGAGGAUUUGUAAAGUGCAGGAUAAAAUCAGGCAUUAAAGUUGCACCCGCAGAUGAGCAGUCCCGUGUUAAAAUAUAAUCUAUUCGAGGGGCUUUCGAGUUGUCUCCACUGAACCAGACAUUCCAAUGAGCCCGGCUGGAAAACUGACAGCCAAUCAGCAUUUGCCACGCCUGCAGUGCUUCCUGUUCUGACCCCCCAUUGCUCGGUGCCCAGAUAAAUGCAGAGAUUUGCUUCUGGAAAGACAUCCGGGAUAAAACUGUGGCAAACAAAUAUGAGUGUUCAUCAAAAGAAUACCAUACCCGAUCAGUCGUGGCCCGGGUAAACUACGCCCGUACCCGGCACCGUGAUCCUGCAGGGCGUCGGUGGAAAUUCAGCGACGGUGGGUCGAAGACAGAAGAAGAGGAUGCAUGCUCCUCCUCAAGGACUGCUGGGAUUGGCUCCUGCGCUUUCUCAACCCUCAUCAGGAUACCGUAAGUGCCUCAGAGAAUGGAUGGAUGAAUGGAUGUUUAUUUGACCAUCAAUUAAUGAAAGAGUGUAUUUGGCAUUCUGAAUAAACAAUGUCAUCUUAGGGUUGCCAUCAUCACAUGGCAUAGCAUCAUAACUUUGAGUUGUUGUUGUUGUUGCUGCACAGCAACAACCAUUCCAUUCAUCAGGCAAAAAUAUAUCUGCCUUAUCCCCACAGACCCACCAAAUAGCUUUGAAAUUUCCCAAAGUAAUGAUUCCUACUAAUGUAAGAUGUGUUACCUGCAAUGUCACACGCUGGCAAGUCAAUCCAUCCAUUUUCUUUGCCACUUAUCCUCACGAGGGUAGCGGGGGGUGCUGGGGCCUAUCCCAGCUGUCAACGGGCAGGGGGCAGGAUACACACAGAACUGGUUGCCAGCCAAUCGCAGGGCACAUCGAGACAAACAACAGUCGCACUCACAAUCACACCGACGGGACAAUUUAGAGUCUCCAAUUAUUGUUAUUGGGACGUGGGAGGAAACUCACGCAGGCACCAGUCCACCUUGACGUCAGAGGCUCCGCCCCCAAAAGGAGUCGUUUUUCAGGUGGUGGAAACUCGGUCAAAGUUCACUGCCUUUAAUUAAAAAACACAUCGAACAGGAUACAUAUUUUAUGGUACAGUUUAACAUAUAUUUUCAUCUAGAUAAAAUCAUUUGCAUUCGAAAUUAUGCAGUACAAUCUCUUUGAAGUGGUACGCACACUGACGCGUGCACUGGGUUGGUUAAAUCAGCGCAAUGCAUGCUCCGAUGGACAGGUGUUGCCGGACACAUCGCUACCUGGAAGUGUGUGCAGGCACUCACACAAGACAUUGGAAUUCCCUGAAUAAACACACGUCUGACAUUUUUUUCCAGUAACAAAGGGGGUCUCUUUCUCCAGUCCCUCGCCACUUGGACAAAGUUCUGGCACUCAGGGUCAUUCAAGCAGC